UAGGAUGAACGCUAGCGGCAGGCUUAACACAUGCAAGUCGAGGGGCAUCGGGAGUAGCAAUACUUGCCGGCGACCGGCGCAAGGGUGCGUAACGCGUGAGCAACAUGCCCGUAUCAGGGGGAUAAUCCAUGGAAACGUGGUCUAAUACCCCAUAGUAAUUAUGUAAGGCAUCUUAUAUAAUUUUAAAGCUUUUGGUGGAUACGGAUUGGCUCGCGUGACAUUAGCUGGAUGGUAAGGUAACGGCUUACCAUGGCUACGAUGUCUAGGGGUUCUGAGAGGAAGGUCCCCCCACACUGGAACUGAGACACGGUCCAGACUCCUACGGGAGGCAGCAGUGAGGAAUAUUGGACAAUGGAUGGAAAUCUGAUCCAGCCAUGCCGCGUGCAGGAAGAACCAGCCCUAUGGGUUGUAAACUGCUUUUGUAUGGGAGCAAUAAGGGCUACGUGUAGUCCGAUAGAGAGUACCAUACGAAUAAGCACCGGCUAACUCCGUGCCAGCAGCAGC
rnacentral:rRNA from 1 species